GAUGAAGAACGCAGCGAAAUGCGAUAAGUAAUGUGAAUUGCAGAAUUCAGUGAAUCAUCGAAUCUUUGAACGCACAUUGCGCCCCUUGGUAUUCCGAGGGGCAUGCCUGUUCGAGCGUCAUUAUAACCCCUCAAGCUCAGCUUGGUGUUGGGGCCUGCUGCACUGGCAGCCCUUAAAAUCAGUGGCGGCGCCAUCUGGCUCUAAGCGUAGUAAUUCUUCUCGCUCUGGAGGUCCGGUCGUGUGCUCGCCAGCAACCCCCAAUUUUUUUCAGGUUGACCUCGGAUCAGGUAGGGAUACCCGCUGAACUUAAGCAUAUCAAUAAGCGGAGGA
rnacentral:misc_RNA from 1 species